CUGGACGCGAUGCUUGCAGUUGAGGCUUGUAGUAAUGACGUGAAUGUCGACUGGGAGGGAGUUGGCCGGAUAAAGCCGCUUCUGGAUUGUGCCCGACCUGUCGUGACGGAGUCGCUGGAGGUUCUGAAGAGGUUGGGUGGAGAAGGUGUUAUUAAUGACAGCGUGGCGUGGGGCCCUCCCCGGGCAUGGAGGUGUGUGUUGUCGAGCUGUGGUCGGACACGCAAUGUUGCUCCUGACGGAGGACCGGUGGAGGGUGAAAUGAACGAGGGGAGUUCCUCGGCGUGGCCGGGGCCACGUUUGCG
rnacentral:lncRNA from 1 species